rnacentral:rRNA from 1 species
CCUACGGGUGGCAGCAGUGAGGAAUAUUGGUCAAUGGCCGAGAGGCUGAACCAGCCAAGUCGCGUGAGGGAAGACGGUCCUAUGGAUUGUAAACCUCUUUUGUCGGGGAGCAAAAGACGCCACGCGUGGCGUUCCGCGAGUACCCGAAGAAAAAGCAUCGGCUAACUCCGUGCCAGCAGCCGCGGUAAUACGGAGGAUCCGAGCGUUAUCCGGAUUUAUUGGGUUUAAAGGGUGCGUGGGCGGAAGAUCAAGUCAGCGGUAAAAGUGAGAGGCUCAACCUCUUCGAGCCGUUGAAACUGGUUGUCUGGAGUGGGCGAGAGGUAUGCGGAAUGCGUGGUGUAGCGGUGAAAUGCAUAGAUAUCACGCAGAACUCCGAUUGCGAAGGCAGCAUACCGGCGCUCAACUGACGCUCAUGCACGAAAGUGUGGGUAUCGAACAGGAUUAGAUACCCUUGUAGUC